rnacentral:lncRNA from 1 species
UGGGACCCCAAUACCUAUAUCACCCUUAAAAAAAAGCCCUACAGCUGGCUGGGCACGGUGGCUCAUGCCUGUAAUCCCAGCACUUUGGGAGGCUGAGACAGGAGAUCACCUGAGGUCAGGAGUUUGAGACCAACCUGGCUAACCUGGCGAAACUCUGUUUCUACUAAAAAUACAAAAAUUAGCUAGGUGUGGUGGUACACACCUGUAAUCCCAGCUACUUGGGAGGCUGAGGCAGGAGGAUUGCUUGAACCCGGGAGGCAGAGGUUGCAGUGAGCCGAGAUUGCACCACUGCACUCCAGCCUGGGUGACAGAGCAAGACUCCGUCUCAAAAAAGAAAUACAAAAUACAAAAUAAAAAAGCCCUGCAGGAGACCCUGAGGUGCAUUUCUUUUAAGAACCACUGCUUUAAAUAAUAAGAAAAAAAUUAAACCAAGAAAAUAUGACUUGUUACAUGUAAGCCCACUUUCCUCAAACUUUUUGGUCUCAGGACUUACUUUCUUAAAAAUUACUGAAGACCCAAAAAAGCUUAUUUUUGUGUGGGUUACAGCCACCAUUAACUACUAUAUUAGAAAUUAAAAUUGAGAGAAUUUCCUAACAUGCAUUAAUUUAUUUUAAAAAUAAAUCCAUUACAUGUUAACAUGUAUUUUAAUAAAAAUAACUGUAUUUUCCAAAAGUAAAAAAGUGAGAAGAGUGGCAUUAUUUUACAUUUUUUGCAGAUCUCUUCAAAAGUCUGGCUUAAUAGAAGAUAGCUGGAUUCUCAUACUUGCUUCUACAUUCAAUCUGUUGCCAUAUGUUGUUUUGGCUGAAGUAUUAAAGAAAAUCUAGCCUCACACAGAAAAUGAAAAUAACUACAGCAUGCAAAGGGCCUGGACAGGGCUGUUCACAGUGGAAAAGACCUAAUCCAGGGAUCUGUCAGACUCAGGCCCCACUGUGACCUGGAACCGUGAGAGGAUCAGCAUCUCAGCAUAACAUAAUUUGGCAUAUCAGUGUGCUGCAGCUCACCAGCUGGGAAACUCUGAAUUAGAAUACCAAAAAGAAAUUUGGAAAAGUAAACCAGAGAACUUUAGUCAUCACUAGGUUUUUCUGAAGGUGGGACGUGAUCACUUACCUGAAUGACUACAUAUUGCACUCAGUUGGUUGCUGGGCUGGAAACCCAGAAUUUCAAUACAGACACAAUAAAGGCAGUUAUCAUCUGUAUGUUCCUGUAGUCCAGU